CCUACGGGAGGCAGCAGUGAGGAAUAUUGGUCAAUGGACGAGAGCCUGAACCAGCCAAGUAGCGUGAAGGAUGACUGCCCUAUGGGUUGUAAACUUCUUUUAUAUGGGACUAAAAUGUUCCACGUGUGGGUUUUUGUAUGUACCAUAUGAAUAAGGACCGGCUAACUACGUUCCAGCAGCCGCGGUAAUACGGAGGAUACGAGCGUUAUCCGGAAUUAUUGGGUUUAAAGGGAGCGUAGGUGGAUUGUUAAGUCAGUUGUGAAAGUGUGCGGCUCAACCGUAGAAUUGCAGUUGAAACUGGCAGUCUUGAGUGCAGUAGAGGUAGGCGGAAUUCGUGGUGUAGCGGUGAAAUGCUUAGAUAUAACGAAGAACUCCGAUUGCGAAGGCAGCUCACUGGACUGCAACUGACACUGAGGCUCGAAAGUGUGGGUAUCAAACAGGAUUAGAUACCCUUGUAGUC
rnacentral:rRNA from 1 species